ncrna:unclassified sequences RT-14 RNA
CUCUGCCUUCAAGUCAGAUGCUGCAGACCUAAUGGGUGUGCAGUCAGUACAGAGGUGUAAAGGAUUCCGUCUCCUUUGCUCUCGCAAAAAAAUGUAAUGGGCAUUGAAUGCCGGUAGUAGUAUAAGCGAAUCCCGCAAUGCUCUG